UCGGGUUCGGGUUCGGGAUUGGGUUUAGGUUUGGGUUUUCAAGUUUAGGUUUAGGUUUAUGUUAGGGAGUUGAGAUUAGGAUUAGGUGUAGGUGUAGGUUUAGGGAUUUGAGAAUAGGUCAAGGUUUAGGUUUAAGAAAUCGGGUUCGGGUUCUGGAUCGGGUUUAGGUUUGGGUCUUCAAGUUUAG